GACGAACGCUGGCGGCGUGCCUAAUACAUGCAAGUAGGACGCAGUUGCGAACGAGUGAGUAACGCGUAGGUAACUGCCUAGUGGAGGGGGAUAAAUAGUGGAAACGAUAGCUAAUACUGCAUACAAGUAGAUGGACCUGCGUUGUAUUAGCUAGUCUGUAGGGUAAUGGCCUACCUAGGCGCCGAUUAAUAGCCGGCCUGAGAGGGGGAGCGACCAAACGGGGACUGAGACACUGCCCAGACUCCUACGGGAGGCAGCAGUAGGGAAUCUUCGGCAAUGGGGGGAACCCUGACCGAGCAACGCCGCGUGAGUGAAGAAGGUUUUCGGAUCGUAAAGCUCUGUUGUUAAGGAAGCGGUACUUAACCAGAAAGGGACGGCUAACUACGUGCCAGCAGCCGCGGUAAUAC
rnacentral:rRNA from 1 species